rfam:Brassica oleracea var. oleracea cultivar TO1000 chromosome C4, whole genome shotgun sequence
AAACCAUGAUGAGGGCAUUGAGAACAUUAGCCCUUGAACCUCUCCCAUGCUUCACUGAAGCUCUCUAGACCUUUCUGUUGAAACCCAGAUAUUUCAUUCUUGAUCUU